CGUUAGCGGCGGACGGGUGAGUAACACGUGGGUAACCUACCUAUAAGACUGGGAUAACUCCGGGAAACCGGGGCUAAUACCGGAUAAUACAUGAAACCGCAUGGUUUCAUGAUGAAAGACGGUUUUGCUGUCACUUAUAGAUGGACCCGCGGCGUAUUAGCUAGUUGGUAAGGUAACGGCUUACCAAGGCAACGAUACGUAGCCACCUGAGAGGGUGAUCGGCCACACUGGAACUGAGACACGGUCCAGACUCCUACGGGAGGCAGCAGCA
rnacentral:rRNA from 1 species